AUUGAACGCUGGCGGCAUGCCUUACACAUGCAAGUCGAACGGCAGCACGGGGCAACCUGGUGGCGAGUGGCGAACGGGUGAGUAAUGCAUCGGAACGUACCUUUCAGUGGGGGAUAACGUAGCGAAAGUUACGCUAAUACCGCAUAUUCUGUGAGCAGGAAAGCAGGGGAUCGCAAGACCUUGCGCUGAUUGAGCGGCCGAUGUCAGAUUAGCUAGUUGGUGAGGUAAAGGCUAACCAAGGCGACGAUCUGUAGCGGGUCUGAGAGGAUGACCAGGCACACUGGGACUGAGACACGGCCCAGAGUCCUACGGGAGGCAGCAGUGGGGAAUUUUGGACAAUGGGCGCAAGCCUGAUCCAGCAAUGCCGCGUGCAGGAAGAAGGCCUUGGGGUCGUAAACUGCUUUUGUACGGAGCGAAAAGGCUCUCUCUAAUACAGGGGGCUCAUGACGGUACCGUAAGAAGAAGCACCGGCUAACUACGUGCCAGCCGCCGCCGUAA
rnacentral:rRNA from 1 species